rnacentral:rRNA from 1 species
CAAGACAUGAAGUUAGGUCAGCAAACCCGCUGAAUUUAAGCAUAUAAGUAAGCGGAGGAUAAGAAACUAAAUAGGAUUCCCUCAGUAAUGGCGAAUGAACAGGGAUAAGCUCAGUAUGGAAAUUGGGGCCUCUGGCCUUGAAUUGUAGUCUUGAGAUGGCAUUGCCAGCGGAGGCGCAGAUGUAAGCCUAUUGGAAAAUAGCAUCAGUGAGGGUGAGAGUCCCGUUUGUCAUCUGCAGUCCCCCGUGCACGGUGUGCUUUCUAAGAGUCACGUUCCUUGGGAUUGGAGCGCAAAUUGGGUGGUAAAUUUCAUCUAAAGCUAAAUAUUGGUUCGAGACCGAUAGCAAACAAGUACCAUGAGGGAAAGGUGAAAAGGACUUUGAAAAGAGAGUUAAAAGUGCCUGAAAUUGCUGAAAGGGAAGCGAAUGGAACCAGUCUUCUUGGUGAGAUUGGUGCACGCUAUGGUGAUUGCCUGCUGCUUCAACGCAAGUGUUGCAGUGGGUUUUGAUCUUGACGUGUGUGCUGCUUCUUACCUCGUGUGUCAACGUCGGUUCGGAAUUGAGGAAAACUCUAGGGACAUGGUAUCUCUGUUGCGGCGGAGUGAAUGUGCCUGGUAGAACUCAUUUCUUAACUGAUUUCUGCAUGUCUGGUCGCAGUGUUUCAUUACCUGUGUCUGGUUCUGCGCUUGUAGCUUCUGUUGCAAGUUGUGGUUCUGGGCCUGGUCGUGGAGCAUCUCCCUGACAUUAGUACGAUGACAAAAUGGUUUCAUUCGACCCGUCUUGAAACACGGACCAAGGAGUCUAACAUAUGUGCAAGUUCAUGGGUGUUAAACCUAAUUGCGCAAUGAAAGUGACUGCUGGGAUAUUUGCACCAGCAACCGACCAAUCAAUUGUGAGAGGUUUGAGUAUGAGCAUAUCUGUUAGGACCCGAAAGAUGGUGAACUAUGCGUGAGAAGGGUGAAGUCAGGGGAAACUCUGAUGGAGGCUCGUAGCGANACUGACGUGCAAAUCGUU